rnacentral:tRNA from 1 species
GCAAGAAUACCCAAGUGGCUGAAGGGGCUCGCUUGGAAAGCGAGUAGAUCGUUAACGCGGUGCCAGGGUUCAAAUCCCUGUUCUUGCGCCA